UUUGCAAACCUGGCAGGCAGGUCUAGGCAAGUAAAUAAGGCUUAAACGGCCGGGCUCUAAGACCUCAGCCUCAUUCAGUCACCUGGUAUGAGCUGCUGCCCUUAAGAGGGAUGAUCUUCAUCAAUGUAGCUCUCUGCAGCUGAGGCUGACCACAAAGGAGUUGGCAGCUGAAUGCUGUUGGCUGACUGCAUUCACUGCACCUGGGCUGCAGGUCCUUCCUUGAAAGAGGGUCUUGGAGGCAACUCUUUAAGUCUGGAAAAGGCACGUCUGCUGGAGAUGGUUGGAGGUCCCCUCCAGACCCUGUUUGCCUGGGUUUCACCAGUGGAGGCUGCAGAACAGCAAAGAUUGCUCCCUGUUCCUUCUUCUGGAAGCUUCAUCCGAGAGGGGCACCUGCCAGAUGCCAGCCAGAGCUCUCCUGUAUGAGG
rnacentral:lncRNA from 10 species